rnacentral:rRNA from 1 species
CCUUACCUGGCCUUGACAUCCAGAGAACUUUCCAGAGAUGGAUUGGUGCCUUCGGGAACUCUGAGACAGGUGCUGCAUGGCCGUCGUCAGCUCGUGUCGUGAGAUGUUGGGUUAAGUCCCGUAACGAGCGCAACCCCUAUCCCUGGUUGCUAGCAGGUAAUGCUGAGAACUCCAGGGAGACUGCCGGUGACAAACCGGAGGAAGGUGGGGAUGACGUCAGGUCAUCAUGGCCCUUACGGCCAGGGCUACACACGUGCUACAAUGGCGCGUACAGAGGGCUGCCAACUCGCGAGAGUGAGCCAAUCCCUUAAAACGCGUCGUAGUCCGGAUCGGAGUCUGCAACUCGACUCCGUGAAGUCGGAAUCGCUAGUAAUCGCGAAUCAGAAUGUCGCGGUGAAUACGUUCCCGGGUCUGUACACACCG